GUACCAUGGCGAAGAAGACUCAAAAGAGUGUGAAGAUUGCUCCUGGAGUAGUUGUAUGUGUAGAAAGUGAAAUCAGAGGAGAUGUUACUAUCAGACCUAGGACAGUGAUCCACCCUAAAGCACGAAUUAUUGCGGAAGCCGGACCAAUCGUGAUUGGUGAAGGUAACCUGAUAGAAGAGCAGGCCCUUAUCAUAAAUGCUCAUCCAGAUAAUAUCACUCCUGACACUGAAGAGCCUGAACCCAAACCUAUGAUCAUUGGCACCAAUAAUGUGUUUGAAGUCGGCUGUUAUUCCCAAGUCAUGAAAAUGGGAGAUAAUAAUGUUAUUGAAUCAAAAGCAUAUGUAGGCAGAAAUGUAAUACUGACAAGUGGCUACAUCAUUGGGGCUUGUUGCAACCUCAAUACUUUUGAAGUCAUCCCUGCACCAUAUAUCACUGUCUUCGCCGACUGCCUUCGCCGGGUGCAGACUGAGCGACCACAGCCCCAGACACUACAGCUGGAUCUCUUGAUGAAAAUCUUGCCAAAUUAUCACCACCUAAAGAAGACUGUGAAAAGAAAUCAACUCCAGUUAAGAAUUAA